GGCAAAAACGAUUUUGGAAUGAGAGGGAAAAUUUUCUGAAAACCAAUGAUUGGCAAUGAUUGCAGCUUAUAUAGCAGGAUCUAAGGGGCAAAUUGGAGAAUUAAAUCUGAAAUGAUUCAAUCUGCACCAUCCAGCUGGCAUUAAGUGAAGGACACAUGCUGUCAUGGAAUUGGUAUUGCACAUCGUCCGCUUUGCAAUACAGCGGUCAAGCCAAGGAUUACAAAGGUUAGGCUUUGAAGCCUCAUUGCCGGUUGCAUUCGGAGUUUGUCCAAAAAUAACCUGCUGUGCUGGAUCGUGGAAAUUGCAGGAUGCGACACGCUCAUGCCGCUCGUACAACUCUCACUUUGUUGGACCGUGGCAGCUUCCAUACACAUAUAUAUGAUGGCAUCCUGACCUCCGAGUCAAUCACUUCCUUUGACAGUGUCAUACAUGUGCCACCUCCAAUCAUCUUCAGUCAUAUUUCCCGAUGCCGCAUUAAUGCCACCUUGAGCUGCAACAGUGCGUGAAUAGGUUGGGAAAAGCUUAGUAAUACAAACAGUAUUGAAUCCAUGUUCUGAAGAUCCAAUAACAACUCUCAAACUAGCACCACCAGCCCUUAACAUAAAUGCAUUGUAAGUAUGAUCUCUGCAUUUCGAUUUUGGUGAUUCAGCAUUUUCUCUCUGAAUGUGGCUUGUUUUGCUCAGUUGUAACAACAGCGGGAAUGCUUAUCACUGUUGCCUAAUCUUACCAUGGAUAUAUUUGACCUCAUAGAUGAUAAUGCUGGAGGCGUUGUAGAAGCGAGUCGGCAUCCUGAAAGUGAUUGAGAGAUCGUGGAUAUCCUUGACGUCCUGGGUAACACAUCCAUAGCCACCGCUUAGCUUCUACUGCACUUACUCUGACAGUGUUGCUGUUUCAAGUUGUUGCAGGUUUGCUUCAAAGCAUUGUAUGUAGCCUUUUCCACACAGUCUUUUCUUCUUGAGCUAAGCAGAACCUUCACAUAGUCCAAAAUUAGUAUUCUGUUUUGCUAGAGACUCAGGGAGCAAAGGUGACGGAUGCAAUCGAAUGACCUAUUCCUACUUGACCGUGUGCCGGCCAGUUUCCUUGCAGGCUGACGCAGAAUGACGGCAGGAUGGUUAUCAGUGAGUCUUAGACCAAACUCAUGAGCAUUCUUUCAUUCAAAUGGCAGAUGUAAGUGUAGUAUCAAAUCAUGUGACUGUGAGGCUUAGUUGUGGUGAACGCAAGAUCCUGUUAGCAGUGCAGCAUCAUGGUUGGAAAAAUCAAAAGACCAAGUCAUGGCAAGGUACACAUGAAGUUGAAAAUGAGACAAGUUACUUGGACAUGAAGAUACAAAGUCAAACCCAUCAAAAAACGACUCUUGGAUGAUAAAUCACGGGAAAAGAGCUAGAUUAGGCCUGAGAUGGUUAAAAAUGGAUGAGUUGACUUUGGUCAAAGUUGACCAAAAAGUCGACCGUUGACCAAAGUCAACAAUCGGUUAAAGCUUAUUUUUUUG